CAGCCGCCGCGGUAAAACGGAGGGUGCAAGCGUUAAUCGGAAUUACUGGGCGUAAAGCGCACGCAGGCGGUCUGACAAGUCAGAUGUGAAAUCCCCGGGCUUAACCUGGGAACUGCAUUUGAAACUGUCAGGCUGGAGUCUUGUAGAGGGGGGUGGAAUUCCAGGUGUAGCGGUGAAAUGCGUAGAGAUCUGGAGGAAUACCGGUGGCGAAGGCGGCCCCCUGGACAAAGACUGACGCUCAGGUGCGAAAGCGUGGGGAGCAAACAGGAUUAGAUACCCGCGUAGUCCCUGUCUCUUAUAC
rnacentral:rRNA from 1 species